rnacentral:rRNA from 1 species
GACGAACGCUGGCGGCGUGCCUAAUACAUGCAAGUAGAACGCUGAAGGAGGAGCUUGCUUCUCCGGAUGAGUUGCGAACGGGUGAGUAACGCGUAGGUAACCUGCCUGGUAGCGGGGGAUAACUAUUGGAAACGAUAGCUAAUACCGCAUAACAGUAGAUAUUGCAUGACAUUUGCUUAAAAGGUGCAAUUGCAUCACUACCAGAUGGACCUGCGUUGUAUUAGCUAGUUGGUGAGGUAACGGCUCACCAAGGCGACGAUACAUAGCCGACCUGAGAGGGUGAUCGGCCACACUGGGACUGAGACACGGCCCAGACUCCUACGGGAGGCAGCAGUAGGGAAUCUUCGGCAAUGGACGGAAGUCUGACCGAGCAACGCCGCGUGAGUGAAGAAGGUUUUCGGAUCGUAAAGCUCUGUUGUAAGAGAAGAACGAGUGUGAGAGUGGAAAGUUCACAGG